rnacentral:rRNA from 1 species
UACGGAGGGUGCGAGCGUUGUCCGGAAUCACUGGGCGUAAAGGGCGCGUAGGCGGCCUGGCAAGUCGAUGGUGAAAGCCCGAGGCUCAACUUCGGGUCGGCCACUGAUACUGCUGGGCUUGAGUCGACUAGAGGCAGAUGGAAUUCCGGGUGUAGCGGUGGAAUGCGUAGAGAUCCGGAAGAACACCGGUGGCGAAGGCGGUCUGCUGGGGUCGAACUGGCGCUGAGGCGCGACAGCGUGGGGAGCAAACAGG